GCCGGAAUUGCUAGUAAUGGCAGGUCAGCAUACUGCCGUGAAUACGUUCCCGGGCCUUGUACACACCGCCCGUCACACCAUGAGAGUUGGGGAUACCCGAAGCCUGUGAGCCAACUGUAAAGAGGCAGCAGUCGAAGGUAGAAUCAAUGAUUGGGGUGAAGUCGUAACAAGGUAUC
rnacentral:rRNA from 1 species